rnacentral:rRNA from 1 species
UUAAACUAGGAUUAGAUACCCUAUUAUUUAAGAUGUAAGUGAUUAAUAUUAGAGUAGUAAUAGAUAAGAUCUUGAAACUCAAAAAAUUUGGCGGUAAUUUAGACUAUUCAGAGGAACCUGUGAUGUAAUUGAUAAUCCACGUUGGACCUUACUUAAGUUUGUUUUUCAGUUUGUAUACCGCCGUUAUUAGAAAAUUUUUUAAGAAGAAUAAUUUUCAUAAUUUUAUAUAAAAAAGUAAAUCAGGUCAAGGUGCAGCUUAUACUUAAGUUUUACAUGGGUUACAAUAAAUUUAUUUAAACGGAUAAGUAUUUGAAAUUAUAUUUUGAAGGCGGAUUUGGUAGUAAAUUUUUAAAGAUAGAAAUGUUGACUUUAGCUCUAGAUUAUGCACACAUCGCCCGUCRCUCUUGUUAAUAAUAUAAGAUAAGUCGUAACAUAGUAGAUGUACCGGAAGGUGCCUCUAGAAUGACAAUUUAAAGCUUGUUAAGUAAAGUAUUUCAUUUACACUGAAAAGAUUAUUGUGCAAAUCAAUAUAAAUUGAUAAUAUAUAAUUAUUAAAUUAUUUUGUUUAUGAAAUAAGCAUUAUUAGAAAUAACUGUAUUUAUUAUUGUUAUAGUAUUUUUUAAAGAAAUAAUUAUUAUUAUUAUAGAAAAUUAGUAAUUUUUAUGAAUUUUGAAAUAAUUGAAAAAUAUAUAGUUAUGUAUAUAUAUAUA